rnacentral:rRNA from 1 species
GCCCUAAACGAUGUCUACUAGUUGUCGGGUUUUAAUUAACUUGGUAACGCAGCUAACGCGUGAAGUAGACCGCCUGGGGAGUACGGUCGCAAGAUUAAAACUCAAAGGAAUUGACGGGGACCCGCACAAGCGGUGGAUGAUGUGGAUUAAUUCGAUGCAACGCGAAAAACCUUACCUACCCUUGACAUGUACGGAAGCCACGAGAGAUCGAGGUGUGCUCGAAAGAGAACCGUAACACAGGUGCUGCAUGGCUGUCGUCAGCUCGUGUCGUGAGAUGUUGGGUUAAGUCCCGCAACGAGCGCAACCCUUGUCAUUAGUUGCUACAUUUAGUUGAGCACUCUAAUGAGACUGCCGGUGACAAACCGGAGGAAGGUGGGGAUGACGUCAAGUCCUCAUGGCCCUUAUGGGUAGGGCUUCACACGUCAUACAAUGGUACAUACAGAGGGCCGCCAACCCGCGAGGGGGAGCUAAUCCCAGAAAGUGUAUCGUAGUCCGGAUCGCAGUCUGCAACUCGACUGCGUGAAGUUGGAAUCGCUAGUAAUCGCGGAUCAGCAUGUCGCGGUGAAUACGUUCCCGGGUCUUGUACACACCGCCCGUCACACCAUGGGAGCGGGUUUUACCAGAAGUAGGUAGCUUAACCGCAAGGGGGGCGCUUACCACGGUAGGAUUCGUGACUGGGGUGAAGUCGUAACAAGGUAGCCGUAUCCGGAAGGUGCC